UACGUAGGGUGCAAGCGUUGUCCGGAAUUAUUGGGCGUAAAGAGCUCGUAGGCGGCUUGUCGCGUCGGCUGUGAAAACCUGGGGCUCAACCCUGGGCCUGCAGCCGAUACGGGCAAGCUAGAAUUCGGUAGGGGAGACUGGAAUUCCUGGUGUAGCGGUGAAAUGCGCAGAUAUCAGGAGGAACACCGGUGGCGAAGGCGGGUCUCUGGGCCGAAAUUGACGCUGAGGAGCGAAAGCGUGGGGAGCAAACAGG
rnacentral:rRNA from 1 species